rnacentral:lncRNA from 1 species
CCUCUUUCCAGGGUUUGCUUCCUGUGCGUCGCUCAGUUUUGAGCCACCUUUUGUUUCAGUCAAUAAAGUGUGUGUUCAGUCAAAUAAAUUUUGUUUUUGUGUCAUUACCGUUUUGAUUACGAAAACAUCCGUUAUUUUGAUAAGAAUAUUUGCAUUUUUGAAACAUAGAGAUCCCUUUCGAUGCAUGCUUAUGAGAUUGAAAUCUGGAAAUCUUAUUCGAAAGUUUGAGUGACCUAAGUGUUGAAAUAUUGGAACGCCUGGGGCACGCUUUUAUCUGACGAUCUCUUGUGCAGGUACUGUUAGAUAUCUUCAUUCACUUGCCGGUGGUAAUGUGAACCCUUUUGACAAGAGAUCCCUGCAGAACCUGAUCAGGGGCAAGGGAUAGAUGAACGGUGAAAAGACGGUGAAGGAUUACGACGGCGAUCCUGGAAGGAUAAUCAAGAAGACUCUUCAAAGUCUGAUGAUUGGAAAGUAUGUGUGAAUCCCAGGAGUUCGAUCUCCGUGGAGUACGAAGGAGUUGGGAAUACAAGAUGAUGGAGCAGAAAAGUCCAGAUGAGUCUGGGAGAUUAUUAAAAGUGGAAAGUCGACACUGUGGGUGGAUGUUGAAUACCAGUGUUCGAACAAGUCGACCGGCAUCCCAUGUCAAACGAGCCGUAUCUCUCCAGUGGGUUGAGAGUGUGAUCUCCCCGACAGAUCCGAGAUCGGUGUCUCCUCAGCGAGCCUGAAGGUUGUCACGUCCCCCAGUGGGAGUGUCAGGGGCAGAAUGUUUCUCAGGGUGGAGGACGUUUCCCCAGCCCAAACCAGUUUGAGAGCUGUCAGAGCUAUGUUCCCCUGCAGAGAUGUCUGUGGAUAGUACCUUCUUUCCCCAGCAGAUCUAAGGAUUUCCUAUCCCCAGCAGGCUUGUGUUGCAGAUUCCCCCAGUGGGUGUAUUCCCCAGCGAAUAUUUCCCCAGUUGAGGUUCCCCGCUGAGUGCCUGGCAGAUGUUAUCCCCAACGUGGACGUGAGCGCUCAUCCUCGACAGAGUUGUGGAUGUUUCUCCCCCAGCACAGGGUCUGGUAUGGUGGUUUCCCACACCAGAGUUUUGCUCUUCCUCAGCAGAGAGGUGUGUUAUCCCCAGCAGGGUGGAUUUCCCUAGCAGAUCUCCUGAGUAGAGAUUGGUGUUGUUUUUUCCUCAGCAAAUUCCCCGAGUGGAGCGGGUUUAAAGAAAUAUUUCUCCAACAGAGUUCAUCCUACUUGUGGGUUGGACAAGUUUUCGUAGCAGAUUGAUAUUUGCAUCCCUAGCUGAGUUUAUCCUACAUGUGGAUUGGAUGGGUCGUCCCCAGCGGAGUAGCAGUUAUUCCUCAUAAGCAAGGUUUAUCCUGUCUAAGGGUUGGUUGAGUCUUCCCCAGCGAGGUCGCUUUAUCAUUCCCCAACAAGAGUCUCCUCGCAGAGCAUUUCUUCAGGCAGAGUCUCCCCACAGAGUUGGAGUAUCUGAUCGCUCGGCUCCCCAGCCAGUUUUGCAUUGUUGCAUGUAGUAAUCAUUGCAUCCUCAAAAUGCGUAGCAUUUCCAUUUUAUAUGGAGCAUUACGCCACAGGAAAAUUCAAACAUAUGCAUUCAUGUGUUCGAA